GCCAUUGUCACCCCUAUGUCCCCCUGUGUCCCUCAUUGUCCCCUCUCCGUCCCCUCUGUGUCCCCUCAGUGUCACUCAUUGUCCCCUCUCUGUCCCCUCGGUGUCAUUGUCCCCCCCCUCUGUCCCCUCGGUGUCACUCAUUGUCCCCUCUGUGUCACCAUUGUCCCCUCUGUGUCCCCUCUGUGUCAUUGUCCCCCCUUCUCUGUCCUCUCUGUGUCCCCUCUGUGUCACUCACUGUCCCCUCUCUGUCCCCUCGGGGUCACUGUCACCUGUGUCCCCUCUCUGUCCCCUUGGUGUCACUCAUUGUCCCCUCUCUGCCCCCUCUGUGCCAUCAUUGUCCCCUCUGUGUCCCCUCUGUGUCAUUGUCACCCCUUCUGUGUCCCCUCUGUGUCCCCAUUGUCCCCUCUGUGCCAUUGUCACCCCUAUGUCCCCCUGUGUCGCUCAUUGUCCCCUCUGUGUCCCCUCAUUGCCAUUGCCAUUGUCAUUGUCAUUGUCAUUGUCCCCUCCCUGUCAUUGUCCCCUCCGUGUCCCCUCCCUGUCAUUGUCAUUGUCCCCUUCCUGCCAUUGUCAUUGUCAUUGCCAUUGCCAUUGUCCCCCCCGUCAUUGUCAUUGUCCCCUCCCUGUCAUUGUCCCCUCCGUGUCCCCUCAUUGCCAUUCAUUGUCCCCCCCUCUCAUUGUCAUUGUCCCCCCCAUCACUGUCAUUGUCCCUGUCAUUGUCAUUGUCCCCUCCGUGUCCCCUCCCUGUCCUUGCCAUUGUCCCCCCUUGUCAUUGUCAUUGUCCCCUCCCUGUCAUUGUCCCCUCCGUGUCCCCUCAUUGCCAUUCAUUGUCCCCUCCCUGCCAUUGUCAUUCAUUGUCCCCUUCCUGCCAUUGUCAUUGCCAUUGUCAUUGUCAUUGUCCCCCCCUGUCAUUGUCAUUGUCCCCUUCCUGCCAUUGUCACUGUCCCCUCUGUGUCAUUGUCCCCUCCGUGUCCCCCCCAUCAUUGUCACUGUCC
rnacentral:lncRNA from 1 species